rnacentral:rRNA from 1 species
AGAUUGAACGCUGGCGGCAGGCCUAACACAUGCAAGUCGAGCGGUAGAGAGGUGCUUGCAUCUCUUGAGAGCGGCGGACGGGUGAGUAAUGCCUAGGAAUCUGCCUAGUGGUGGGGGAUAACGUUCGGAAACGGACGCUAAUACCGCAUACGUCCUACGGGAGAAAGCGGGGGACCUUCGGGCCUCGCGCCAUUAGAUGAGCCUAGGUCGGAUUAGCUAGUUGGUGAGGUAUGGCUCACCAAGGCGACGAUCCGUAACUGGUCUGAGAGGAUGAUCAGCCACACUGGGACUGAGACACGGCCAGACUCGAGGGAGCAGCGGAGGAAUAGUGGACAAGUGGGCGAAAGCCUAGAUCAG